GCUCGUGCAUCGAUGAAGGGACGCAGCGAAAUGCGAUACGCAUUGUGAAUUGCAGAUUUCAGUGAACCAUUAGAUCUCCGAACGCAUAUGGCGCUGUAGGGACUUCCCUACAGCACGUCUGUUUCAGUGUCUUU
rnacentral:rRNA from 1 species